rnacentral:rRNA from 1 species
GACGAACGCUGGCGGCGUGCCUAAUACAUGCAAGUCGAACGCACUCUCGUUUAGAUUGAAGGAGCUUGCUCCUGAUUGAUAAACAUUUGAGUGAGUGGCGGACGGGUGAGUAACACGUGGGUAACCUGCCCUAAAGUGGGGGAUAACAUUUGGAAACAGAUGCUAAUACCGCAUAAAACCUAACACCGCAUGGUGUAGGGUUGAAAGAUGGUUUCGGCUAUCACUUUAGGAUGGACCCGCGGUGCAUUAGUUAGUUGGUGAGGUAAAGGCUCACCCAAGACCGUGAUGCAUAGCCGACCUGAGAGGGUAAUCGGCCACACUGGGACUGAGACACGGCCCAGACUCCUAC